GAAUCCUACGGGACGCAGCAGUGGGGAAUAUUGCACAAUGGGGGAAACCCUGAUGCAGCAACGCCGCGUGAGUGAAGAAGGUUUUCGGAUUGUAAAGCUCUGUUAGCAGGGAAGAGGAAGGACGGUACCUGCAGAGGAAGCCACGGCUAACUACGUGCCAGCAGCCGCGGUAAUACGUAGGCGGCAAGCGUUGUUCGGAAUAACUGGGCGUAAAGGAUGCGGAGGCGGUGAAACAAGGUAUAUGUUAAAUAUAUAGGCUUAACCUGUAGAAAGCAUAAAAAA
rnacentral:rRNA from 1 species